GAGUGAUGAGGAUUGUGUAGAGAUACUGAAAUGAUGCAAGAAGGCUGUUCCAUCCAAAGAAGAAGGGAUAAGGUGAUUAUUAUUGAAAUAGUAACCAAGCUGGAUGUUGGCUUUCCUGAGUUGGCCGAAACAUAGCUACUCUUUGACAUUAGGGCUGGAACAUAGCUGAGCUUGGGCCGAAACACAACUGGGCUUGGGCCGGGCCUCACCCCUACCCAAGUCUGGCCCAAAUUUUUUUUUAAACUUCAGACUGGGCUUAGGGAUGAAGAUUUUUUAAAUUUUAUAGCCCAAACCUGACCCAAGCCUAGCCCGAACCC
rnacentral:lncRNA from 1 species